GAGAGAGAGAGCGAGAGAGAGAGAGGGAGGGAGAGAGAAAGAUGUGUGUGUGUGUGUGUGUGUGUGUACACUGUAUAAAAGGAGCUACAGAGUGAACUGAAUCAGAACUCGACCUCCCAUCCAACUGAGCGGAAUUUGGAGACCAAGGUGUACACCCCAAGCAGCAUCAGCUGGAUCCUGAGCCGGGCGACUGGACUGAGAACAGCCAACAGAAUUUCAUCAUUUGAGUCUUCUGAUUGCCUCUGGCUACUCAUACAUUCCU